rnacentral:rRNA from 1 species
UAACGCGUGGAUAACCUGCCGUAUACCGGGGGAUAACACUUAGAAAUAGGUGCUAAUACCGCAUAAGCGCACGGCUCCGCAUGGGGCAGUGUGAAAAACUCCGGUGGUAUACGAUGGAUCCGCGUCUGAUUAGCUAGUUGGCGGGGUAACGGCCCACCAAGGCAGCGAUCAGUAGCCGGCCUGAGAGGGUGGACGGCCACAUUGGGACUGAGACACGGCCCAAACUCCUACGGGAGGCAGCAGUGGGGAAUAUUGCACAAUGGGGGAAACCCUGAUGCAGCGACGCCGCGUGAGUGAAGAAGUAUCUCGGUACGUAAAGCUCUAUCAGCAGGGAAGAAAAUGACGGUACCUGGAGAAAAAGCUCCGGCUAACUACGUGCCAGCAGCCGCGGUAAUACGUAGGGGGCAAGCGUUAUCCGGAUUUACUGGGUGUAAAGGGAGCGUAGACGGCAGCACAAGUCUGGAGUGAAAUCCCGGGGCUUAACCCCGGAACUGCUUUGGAAACUGUGCGGCUGGAGUGCAGGAGGGGUAAGCGGAAUUCCUAGUGUAGCGGUGAAAUGCGUAGAUAUUAGGAGGAACACCGGUGGCGAAGGCGGCUUACUGGACUGUAACUGACGUUGAGGCUCGAAAGCGUGGGGGAGCAAACAGGAUUAGAUACCCUGGUAGUCCACGCCGUAAACAAUGAUUACUAGGUGU